rnacentral:tRNA from 1 species
GGUUAUGGCUCAGCGGUAGAGCACUUGCCUACCAUGUGGGAGGCCCUGGGUUCAAUCCUCAGCACCA